rnacentral:rRNA from 1 species
UGGCCCCGCAUACGGAUGAGCCUGCGGUGCAUUAGCUAGUUGGUGAGGUAACGGCCCACCAAGGCGAUGAUGCAUAGCCGACCUGAGAGGGUGACCGGCCACAUUGGGACUGAGACACGGCCCAAACUCCUACGGGAGGCAGCAGUAGGGAAUUUUCGUCAAUGGGGGGAACCCUGAACGAGCAAUGCCGCGUGAGUGAAGAAGGUCUUCGGAUUGUAAAGCUCUGUUGUAAGAGAAAAACGGACUCCAUAGGGAAUGAUGGAGGAGUGAUGGUAUCUUACCAGAAAGCCACGGCUAACUAC